rnacentral:tRNA from 1 species
GCCUAGCCAGUAAGGUGGAUUUGACACUCGGCUUGUAACCGAGUGUGUUCGGGUUCGAAUCCCGAGUAAGGCA